GCAGUGUGAACACCAAAAGGCUCUUACUCUACAGCCAAAGGCAACUGGCAAAGUUUAGAGUACAGCAGCUUUUUCCAUUUAAGUCUAAAGAAAUUGGCACAAGUUAACCAAUUGCAUUACAAGCUGUUUCUAGUGAUAUGCAAUGUUGUUGUCAACAUUAGCCCUGCAGUGAAAAUGACAUAAUUUCACUUGUUUUAAAAGAUACUGGGGAAAGAGAGAUAUGUCAUUGAUAGAAAUGCUAUACCUCAAUCCAUGUUGAAGAACCUUAGCUGCUGUGUUUAAGUUAGUGUGUGUGUGUGUGUGUGUGUGUGUGUGUGUGUAGGUGUAGGUGUAGGUGUGACUUCAUGUCUGUUUAGUCUGAAGGCAUGAUCUGGUUCUUAAGAGUUUAGACAGGAAAUACUUUGAGGUUUUUAUACAUAACAAAUUACUUCACUCUGGGCAUAAACAACAGUGGAAAAUAUACAACCGACAUCUCUUGG